GUCCACGCCGUAAACGAUGGGUACUAGGCGCCGGGGGAGCGACCCCUUCGGUGCCGUCGCUAACGCAAUAAGUACCCCGCCUGGGGAGUACGGCCGCAAGGCUGAAACUCAAAGGAAUUGACGGGGGCCCGCACAAGCGGUGGAGCAUGUGGUUCAAUUCGAAGCAACGCGAAGAACCUUACCUGGGCUUGACAUGCACGGGAAAGCCGGUGGAAACAUCGGCCCCUCUUCGGAGUUCGUGCACAGGUGCUGCAUGGCUGUCGU
rnacentral:rRNA from 1 species